UAACUAAAACUAUUUUGAUAUAUAAUUUUAUUUAUCUUACUGAUUACUUGAUUUAUGUAUAUGUGUGAGAUAAAGUUUAUAAAAUAAUUUACAAUAUCAAACACAAUGUAGUAAAUAUAUAUAUUAUUGAAUAUAUGAAAGAUAGAUUGCAGAACAAUAUAAUAUAACAUGUAGAGUCUGAGAUGAAAUAAUGCAGGUACGUGAGAAUGUUCAUAUAUAUAUAUACAACCCGCGUCACAUACGGACGUCCGCAGUGACAACGGGUUGCGGACGUGGGCUCAGAUUUACACCAUUGUCAAUCCGACGGCGCUCAACGUGUUGCAGGCCAGGACUGAACGAUACCUAAACCACGUCUUGCGUUUCCCCAUGGCAAACAGUGCACGGUAUGAGUAUCCGUCCGACCACUGUACGACCAUCGGCAAGGUGUGAACCCAUCGUGUCGACAUCCCCAUAUGCGUCGAUUCCGGGAUUGGAACCACACCAUCGCCGUGUGCUCGCUGUAUUACUUAAGACAGUAGUGGGUUAGUUAGUGACUAUCGAUCGUCGACGGUGUGAUCCGGUUAAAAUCCCGUUUCUUCCAAAUGUAUGUAGUGUUGCUUUAGGUCGUAACGCCAUCAGAGUUAUCGCAAGGAAUCAGAUUCUCAAUCACGACGGCAGGGUGAACCGACUCGGAUGGACGGGACUGAAAUUGCAUUCACGUCGACUCCUCAUCGCGGGACUGGAACCGCAAUCGCGUCGACUCCUCAUCGCAGGACUGGAACCGCAAUCGCGUUGACUCCUCAUCUUCGUCGAUUCCGAACAAACAGAACCGCAAUCGUGAACAGUGUGCGGAAUGACGAUGGGACGUAAUACGUACCCGAUUUCUUGGUUGAGGGACGGACGGACGGCUGGCAAUCGUCAACUCGGAUGGACGGUGGAUUGCGGAAUCCGCAACGACCCGCAGGAGGGGGAACCACGCCAAAAUCGCUUAUAUAUAUAUAAGUGUGUAUGUAUAUAAGUGUGAGAACGAAAUGUAAAGAAUGAAUAUGCGUUACUGGUAUUCAGGAACGUUGAUCUUGUGAAAUGAUGCGGAAGCCUGAUUGUCAGAGAUGCAACAAAGGAUGUAGAUAUGCGAUGACGAGAGAUUCAAUGAAACUGUUCGAAGUGAAAACGCGUUGUGCUAGAAGAACAAGAACAGAAUCUGUUACAAGAAGACUCGUGAUUCCAAAAGGAGGAUGACUUUGAUUCAAAAUAUAGAUUAAACCAGUAGAGACCAAACGUUGAAUAGUUUGGUAUAUAUUUAUAGUAUGUCAGCAACUGUCGGGAAUUUGUAAGGUCGAUCGUCUGGGUGCUUGAGUCAUGUAAA
rnacentral:lncRNA from 1 species